GCUUAGCAACCUGCUCGGGACCCCUCUCUGUGACUGUGAGCUGUUCUGUUCUUUUGCCUAUUAAACUCCUGCUCCAAACUCACUCGAUGUGUGUGUGCAUGUCCUUGACCUCAAUAUCUGGUCGUGUGACCAAGAACCUCAGUAUUCACCCCAGACAACAAGGCUGCUUCAUUUUGAGGGCUCGUCUGGGAUUUGAAGGUGACUUCAUCAGAAUGGGAUCUGCAGUCCAGCUGAAAACCUGCCCUUGCCUGAGCCCAGCCACUUUCUCCCAGAGAAAACUGGAGAACCUAAACAUGAUUGUGAACAGAAACCAUCAAGCUUCAGAUGGUGCUGAAAAUGGAGCCGAAAAUGAAACUGCCCUCCUACGAGGGACCCUUAAAUCAACCCCAGGAGGAGCCCUAGCUGCUGUUCCCCACACAACGCCACUCUCCAGCAGGAAGUAGCCAGAAGAAAUCGUCACCCAGUUUCCCCUAGCAGCAGCGCAGUAAGAUUGAGGAGCUAAAAACAGACUUGGGUGGAUGUCUGCAGCUGCAAGAAGAUGUGUGGGAACAGACACAGAAACUCUCCCUCCCAGAUAAGCAAGACAAAGAAACACAGAAUAAGAGUCCAUCUAUGUGGUCAGAGAAUGGGAUAAGAGCUGAUUUAAAAAAACUCUGCUCUAUAUAGAAGGCACACCUGGUCCCAACCAAACCACUGGACCCUAGGAGGAUAAGACCUCCUCUGCUCAUGAGCCCCCUCCUCAGUAGCCCAUUUAUAAAAACCCUGACAAUUUUACUACCACUUGGCAACCCGCUCGGGACCCCUCUCUGUGAUGGAGAGCUGUUCUUUUCUUUUGCCUAUUAAACUCCUGCUCCAAAC
rnacentral:lncRNA from 1 species